rfam:Oryza nivara chromosome 11, whole genome shotgun sequence.
UUUAAGUACAAUAAUGAGUUUCCGUACCCAACUUUGAUCGUCCAUCUUAUUUGAAAUUUUUUUAUAAUUAGUAUUUUUGUUGUUAUGAGAUGAUAAAAUAUGAAUAAUACUUUACUUGUGACUUGUGUUUUCAGUUUUUUUUAAAAGAAAAAAAUUAAAUAAGACGAACAAUCAAAGUAGGGUGUGAAAAACCAUGACUACACUUAAA